rnacentral:snRNA from 1 species
GGUUGUGAGUGUGCUCCAGCUAAGAUGUCUGUCACCUCAUCAUCAGAACUGACUUGGUUGAUCUGGCUGCUUGUGCUUUUGUCCCUGUUUUCUGUCACCAUUCCAUGUAUAUACUUCUCAAACUGUUUUAGACCAAAGAGAGUAAACUUUUCCAAUAGAAGAGAACUACUUCUCAGCUAAGAGUCUAUGCAUGAGGAGCUGAGAUCCACGACUAAAUAUUUCAGAUGAAACUCAAGGUCAUCUGCAGAACAGUGUAGGCCUUUCAUUCUUCCAAGGUUCUAGUUUUUAUCAAAGGAGGUACUAUGUAUAGCAGUAUGCUGUCU